rnacentral:tRNA from 1 species
UCUAAUGUGGCAGAUUAGUGCAUUGGAUUUAAGACCCAAAUAUAAAGAUUUAAUCUUUUUUUAGAA